GUGCCAGCCGCCGCGGUAAUACGUAGGUGGCAAGCGCUGUCCGGAAUUAUUGGGCGUAAAGCGCGCGCAGGUGGUUUCUUAAGUCUGAUGUGAAAGCCCACGGCUUAACCGUGGAGGUUCAUUGGAAACUGGGAGACUUGAGUGCAGAAGAGGAAAGUGGAAUUCCAAGUGUAGCGGUGAAAUGCGUAGAGAUAUGAGGGAACACCAGUGGCGAGGGCGACUUUCUGGUC
rnacentral:rRNA from 1 species